CCUUAAGCAAUGGGACCUUUGAGCAACGGGACCCUUGCCUACUGGCCUAGACGGCUGCCUUACAUCCGUCAAGACCCGCUGGAGAGGUCGACUUGGAGGAUGAGACUCCCUUUAACCCACCCUCCAGCCAUCACCGGAGGGCAGAGCUAUGACAGUGGGAAGAAGGGAAAGAAACUCCAUGGUAAAUUAGACCUCCGGACUGUUGGCUGGGAAUUAACCCAAGGAAGAGGGCAGUGCCUGAUUGCUACCUGUGGAUGGAGGGUUUGCAGCAAUUUCUAAGAGACGGACCAGAGGCUGAAAAUGGCCAGUGGGUGUGAUUUUAAAGAGUUGGGAUGAUGUGGAGCUGGGAGCCGAAGGUGCUGUAGGCAAGGAAGGUGAGUUAAACUGGGCAGUGUUUUUAUAAACAUGUAACAAGGAGUCAGAUUUGUGUUAGAAAUAAAUAAAAAACUAAAGGACCUUUUUGGCUGUGACUUUCAAGUACCACCCUCGUGGAUGGCAGAGGUUUCCAAUAUGCAAAGACGAGAUUUCCAUGUGAAAUCUUAGACUCGUUUUGCAUCUGCAGCCUCGGAUUUGUGGUUGCCUCGUGGUGAGGACCGUGACCCUGAGCCUGGUGCCCAGGAGGAA
ensembl:lncRNA